rnacentral:lncRNA from 1 species
GGCCAGCUGGACAUCAUCUCUAUGGCUGAGACCAGCAUGAUGCCGGAGGAGAUUGAGCUGGAGAUGGCGAAAAUCCAGCGUCUCCGUGAAGUCCUGGUUCGUCGAGAGUCAGAACUCAGGUUCAUGAUGGAUGACAUUCAACUCUGCAAGGACAUCAUGAACCUGAAGCAGGAGCUUCAGAACUUGGUAGCCAUCCCAGAAAAAGAAAAAACCAAGCUGCAGAAGCAGAGAGAGGAUGAGUUAAUCCAGAAGAUCCACAGACUGGUGCAGAAGAGAGACUUCCUGGUGGACGACGCUGAGGUGGAACGGUUAAGGGAACAGGAAGAAGACAAGGAAAUGGCUGAUUUCCUGAGGAUCAAAUUAAAACCUCUAGACAAAGUAACCAAGUCUUCAGCCAGCUCCCGGGCAGAGAAGAAGGCAGAGCCCCCACCUAGCAAGCCAACAGUGGCCAAGACAGGGCUGGCCCUCAUCAAGGAUUGUUGUGGGGCCACCCAGUGCAACAUUAUGUAGCCCUUAUGUGGGUGUCCCAGAGCUGUGGGGACACUCUCUCCCACCCUCUCGUCCCUCCCAUUUCACAGGGGUCCAAGAGCUUUCUAAGGCAAACGGGGUUGAAGGCAAGCCCAUGACUGCUAUCAGGGGGCAUGGGUGUGGCAGGUGGGCCCAGCCUGUACAGAGUGUAGCAAUAGAGAGCCCCUCACCAUCGCAUGGUCCUUCCUAGAGCAUGCCCAACCCAGGAGUCUGUCUUAUCAUUUAUCUAACCACCAAGAAAGCCCCUUCCUUAAAACAGUAUACCUUCACUUCUCUCUAGGUGUAUCUAACCUACCAUGCAUUUGUUUAAACUGGGAAAGGGGCAUAGCCCCCAGGUGUGUAUAGCUGUACAUUUCAAUAAUAUAGCACCAUGUUGGACCCAUUUCCCAUCCAUCCUCCCAGCUUUCCCGUCAGACACAAGUUCUGUUCUCUGUUUGCCCUCUCCCAGGAACUGUAGCUUGGAGGGUUCCACACAGCCAACACAUCUCCUUGUAAUCACUUCCCUGGAGACACUGGCCGUCUAUGAAGGCUGAGUUUGUAUGUGGUGUUGAGUUUACACCUCUUGCUCCAUCCCAUCCUGCUGUGCAUUGUGCCAGACUCCAGGCUUUUCCUUGAUUUGCCAUGUGUAGCCCAUAGUGGAGCAGAGUGGGGAGCUGUGGCCAAGAGCAGAUCCAGUGCUUGUACCAGGUAGCGGAGAGCUGCAGGUACCAAUGUCAAGGCCAGAGUGGAUGAGAAGGGGACCCAGAAAAGAUGCCAACCCACAUCCCCUUUACCCAGGGCUGCUGCAAGAGAGUGCAAGUGGGAGGUCACAUUGCUGGCCCAACACACAUUGACAGACAGGAGAGAAAGCCUGACCCAACUAUGUCUCAUUGUCUGGUGGCCUGUUUGAACCAGCCCCACAAUUUCUCUUGUGUAACUUGAUGUACAUUUGCCAUGGCCAGCCUGGCACAGCCUGUGUGAUCUCUGUGCGUGUAUGUGUGUUGACUGGCCUAAGUAUUCAGCACUGUCCAGGAUUUGCUGUUGUGCAAACUAUACAUCAAAGAAAAUAAAUAUGAAAACAUACACACAGCA